rnacentral:tRNA from 1 species
GGUUGUGGCUCAGUGGUAGAUCACUCGCCUAGCACGUUUGUGGCCCUGGGUUCGAUCCUCAGCACCA